UCCUUUAGGACUCCUUUGAUAAGUUAAGGAUUAAUUCAAAAUCUAUUUGAAUUAAGAAUUUUAGUCUUAUGGGUCAUAAAAAAUUAUCUAUAAAUAGGGAGAACCUCUAACUAUCAUGGUAUAAUAAUUAGAUUACGUGCUAAGGUGAGAAAGAGAGAGAGAAGAGGCAUGCAGAGGAAUAGGCAUCCCCUUGGUGUGUUCCCCAUUUGGUGUCCCUCUUCUCCUUGGUAUGAAGGUCCUUUGGGCAUCCCCUCUUGCUGGUGUGAGGCAUCACACCAGAGGCUCUCUCUUUUCUCUUGUUGCCUUGCGAAGGUGCUUCAAUUCAAGGCUUCAUCCCAUUUUCCUAUGAAGUUUGACGUGCGCAUGAAGUAGAGAAUUUAUGGAUUCAGACCUACGUGAGAUUUUGGAUUCAGAAUCUUUGAAGAUUUGAUCCCUAUUCUACUAUGUAUCAGGUAAAGAUCUAAUCUUUAUUAAGUUAUUAUAAAAAAUUUUUAGAUGCACCC
rnacentral:lncRNA from 1 species